GAGUUAGAAAGGGAGGUCAGUGUUUUUUAACAUCUCUCAACUUUGAUUCUGUUAGUUAUGGUUUUCAGCCUUGACCCAAAUGGUCGAAGCCAUGUUUUCAAACUCUUUGAAAAGGAGAUCACAUACGAAUGCUAGAAUACUAGUUUCUUUUACAGCAGGAAUACAAGCAUGUGGAAAAAGAUAUAAAAAAUAUACUACCCAUAAUUGAAAAUGCCAUAGAUUGUGGUGUGAAGCCACACCCAAUAGAUGGCGGCACCAUAAGUAGCAUUCCUACUUUAUUCUGAAACCAGUCCAUAAUAACUAUUAAAGAAUUAUGAGUUAUUUUUUCUCAACUAUGGUAUGUAAGAAAACCCUUUUUUAAAAUAUCUUGUCAAUAUUUAAUGUAACAGAGUUCAACCAAAAUCAGCUUCUAAUCCAUUAGAUGCUUUCUAAUGCAGCUUUCAGCUGAAACCCUAAAAACAAAACCAAAGCUUUUCAGAUUCUCCCCAAAAUGAUCCGUAACCAACAUUGGUUAUGGAGUUUCAGCUGACACCGGUCUGCAGAGUCAUUUCUUAUGUAUAUACGUGCAAGGUGUUCUUUUCUAACAACUUAAUAAUAUAUUUGAUUUCUGGAAAAUAAUUUAUAACUAUUAGACUUUGAUUCUACAAGUUUUAAGAAAACAAGAAGCAUUUAUGUGUUUGGCCGCAAUCAGGAAUAAGUAAUCUUUUUCGAAACUUGUAAGAACUUUUUUUUGUUAGCGUGCAUGCAUAUAUUCUGCAACCCACCCCCCACAAAAAAGAAAAAAGAUUGGACAUCUUGAAUAGUGGAUUUCAAGAUUUAAGCUCAAAUUUGUAAGAUUUGUUUCCCCUGCAAAGUGUCAAUUGCCAAAGCCCAAUAGGGUUCUAAGACGCUUUACAAUCCUCUUUCGUAGACUUUAGAGAUCAAUCAUCUUUAGCUGCAGAACCUGUAGAACUAUAAAUAAAACAAAAGUCUUCUUAGUUUCCAUAAAAAUAUAAAUUAAUUUAUUUUCACGUCAUUUGUAACAUUAUUUGCAAUUCAUAUCCAACACAAUCAUACUUACAACAAUGUAUAUAGAUUGUCAUGUGCUAUAGUUUCCUAAAAGAAUUGAACAAUAUAUAAACUCUUAAAUGAUAUCAAUGAUAUCAUAUGCAUUUUAACAUUUUCUUAGUUGUUCACGUUUAUAAUUUAUUAGUUUCAUCAUCAUAACAACCUAAACUAUUCAUGCAUACAUCAAUAUU
rnacentral:lncRNA from 1 species